GAGAGGGAAAUAUUGCAAAGUGUGAAAAUUCUCACCAAACUAUACUUUUUAAUAGGACUUUUAAAUUUAAUUCUUUUUAUUCUCUUCAGAGAAUGAAGGAGUUAUGCUCAAAAGAGUGCAGGAAUUGCCACUCAGUAGAGCUGAUAUGCAUUCACUCUACCGUGUCCUGAGAGUGCCCAGGACAGUCUGACUCAAAGGGAGGUGUAAGAAAUUCCCACUAGUGAGAUUCCAGGGUUGGAUUUGUCCAGCUAAUCUGCUCCACCCUGAGAAAUCCCGUCCCUGGGGUGCUGCACCACUGGAGGGACUGGCCCAGUGUGCCCAGGGAGCACUUAAAAAAAUCAUGUUGUAGCAUUUUGGUGAAAAAUGAGCUUUUAAAAAACUGGGCAUUUAAAAUUUUGUCUCUGUUUUCUUUAGAAAACUCAUCCAGAGUUUCUCUGGUGCCAUUAAACUGCCCUGCAAGGGCACAUCUGAUCAGUUGUCCUCAAAGCACUGCUGAAAUAGAUGUGUAGCUAAUGCAUUCUUCUUAAUUGGAGAGCAAUUUCUUGUGGCAUCACUUCUGUUAUGUUUUCUUGCAGUGACCCAAAACCCCUGGCUGCUUUGGAAAGUGGAUAGUAUUGACAAGCAAAGAAAUAUGGCAAGUAAAGAGUGGUGUAUUGCACCUCAAGACUUCCCUCUGUACCGACUGGAUUGCCCACCUGGCCCUCGGCUCUGUAGUAGCCCCCCGAGGUUGGCCCCGGUGGUGUGACGGGCCCCGUGCUCUGCCAGCCCCUCCGAGCCAACCAAAGCCUGUCACAGCCUUCAGAGCACAAAUCCCUGGGCAGAUGGAUCCCUAACAGCUACACUUCAGGGAGAAAGUGGAGAUGCUCCUAAAAUUAGUUGCUGACAGCUCAAAGGAGGAGUAACUGCCUCCCGUGUCGUUACUUCUUCUGGAACAGGGACGUGUGUUAUGGAAAUGCUGACACUGGGUUUGUACAGUGUGUACACAUGUGCUGUGUGUGUGUCUAAGUGUGUACCCAUGAAUGCACUGUUACAGUGUAGGAUCAGAUUGCUGGAAAGGUCUGGGGGGUUCAGGAGCAUGGCUUGCUUUGGACUGUUAUUAAAAUAUGGGCAUUUUGGUAACGAAGCUAAAAAUAGCCACUUUACGACCUACAUUCCCAAUGUAGGUCAGUGGAGGCACUUCUCAGACAUAUUAGCAUUUUGGACACUUAAUCUUAGCAGCAUAUUGCAUCUCCUAGAAUAGGUUAGUAGAGGCAAGGCAGGAGGAAUUGCUGCAUCUCGAGUCGUUCCGAAAGGUUGCCAAGUUUCUCAGGAACCAGAGCAGCAGAAUAAUGAGGAUUAUAUUUAAUUUGGGAUGGAGAGGCAACCGUGGGGUGUUCAGCAGAGGCAGCUGGGAUCAUCUUGGCUCUGUGGGGGAGGGAGAAUUUAUAACUCUAGCUAGCUAAAAAGCAAGCUGUGCGUGCAUUUGUGUGUAUAUAUAUAUAUUUAUAUAUAUGUAUAUACAAAUCUGUGUAUGUGUAUAUAGCACCGUGUGUAUAUAUGUAUGUAUGUAUAUGCCUAAAAUGUAUUAUAUGUGUAUCUAUAGAUAUGUAUACAUUUAUAUGAAUUUAUAUUUCUCUAUAUAAAUAGUCAUGCAACUAUGGGAAGUCACAAUUCAACGGUGUGUCCUUUUUCUUUAAAACAAAACAAAAAGCUGCUUCCAUUAAUAUCACAUUGGCACAAGUGUCCUAAGUUUUAUUUUCUCUUUAGAAAGGAGUGGUACUUGUGGCCGAGCACAAGCCUGGAAGGGUUUGCCUCUUCCAGAGGGCUCAGAGUAAAUCAUUAUCUGCUCCACAGCUAUUCUACAUUUGUGACAUAAAGUGGUGACCAAAAUGACUCAGGGCUGGUUUUGUAGGCAAAAAAAGUGGGUUGUUGACUGUUUGGAAGUCUCUGUUAUGCUCAUGGAUUUUUGAUGGUGAAAUGUCUGCACUGAUAGUUAUUCUGGUUGCUGUUAAUGCCCAGCUAAUGCUAAUGGCUUGAACAGAGGAAAAAAAGAUGAAUUUUCUGCUCUAAAGUAAGUUAUCUGAAGUCUGAUUACAUUGACUCAGUGAUGUAUGGAUUUCCAUUUAGGGGCAGGAUGUUGGGCUGUAAAUCAAGAAUCUCAGCUCAGUGAACAUCUAGUUUGGGAUGUCUUUUAUGUUAUAAUUGAUUUUAAAUCAUUUCAAUUCAUCAUCAGAACAAGCUAUACCUUAAUUCAUGAUAAGCUCAAAGGAUCUCUCAGCUGGAAACCCAUUCAUAGCAGGGUGAAUUUUGCACUUGUCUUCGGUGGGGUUGAAUCAGGUCAGAGAGUUUCAUUCAGCGCUGGCAUAAAAACAAUCUUGUAGCUGUGCAACUAUUAAUUCAAAUUGUAAUUUUGUAAUAAAAGUAGCCUAAAAAUGA